rnacentral:rRNA from 1 species
UAUAACUGCCGCAUGGCGCGUUGGACACACCCGAUUCCUCAAUCUCGGAAGUUAAGCUACAUGCAGUCCGGACAGUUCUUGGAUGGGAGACCACCCAAGGACAACCGGAUGCUGUAGCUG